GGGCCCGCACAAGCGGUGGAGUAUGUGGUUUAAUUCGAUGCAACGCGAAGAACCUUACCAGGGUUUGACAUCCUGCGAAUUUCUGGGAAACCGGAAAGUGCCUUCGGGAGCGCAGUGACAGGUGGUGCAUGGCUGUCGUCAGCUCGUGUCGUGAGAUGUUGGGUUAAGUCCCGCAACGAGCGCAACCCACGUCUUUAGUUGCCAGCAUUUAGUUGGGCACUCUAGAGAGACCGCCGGUGAUAAACCGGAGGAAGGUGUGGAUGACGUCAAGUCAUCAUGCCCCUUACAUCCUGGGCUACACACGUACUACAAUGCUACGGACAAAGGGCAGCAAACUCGCGAGAGCUAGCAAAUCCCAUAAACCGUGGCUCAGUUCAGAUCGUAGGCUGCAACUCGCCUACGUGAAGGAGGAAUC
rnacentral:rRNA from 1 species